rnacentral:rRNA from 1 species
ACGGAAGGCAGCAGUGGGGAAUAUUGGGCAAUGGGCGAAAGCCUGACCCAGCGACGCCGCGUGAGCGAAGAAGGUCUUCGGAUUGUAAAGCUCUGUUGACAGGGACGAAGAAGUGACGGUACCUGUCGAGGAAGCCACGGCUAACUACGUGCCAGCAGCCGCGGUAAUACGUAGGUGGCAAGCGUUAUCCGGAUUUACUGGGUGUAAAGGGAGCGUAGACGGCUUUGCAAGUCUGAAGUGAAAGCCCGGGGCUCAACCCCGGAACUGCUUUGGAAACUGUAGAGCUAGAGUGCAGGAGAGGUAAGUGGAAUUCCUAGUGUAGCGGUGAAAUGCGUAGAUAUUAGGAGGAACACCAGUGGCGAAGGCGGCUUACUGGACUGUAACUGACGUUGAGGCUCGAAGGCGUGGGGAGCAAACAGGAUUAGAUACCCUGGUA